AACGGCGGCCGUAACUAUAACGGUCCUAAGGUAGCGAAAUUCCUUGUCGGGUAAGUUCCGACCUGCACGAAUGGCGUAACGACUUCCCCACUGUCUCGAGGAGGAACUCAGCGAAAUUGGAAUCUCGGUGCAGAUACCGAGUUCCCGCGGCAAGACGGAAAGACCCCGGAACCUUUACUGCAACUUGGCAGUGAGCAUUGCGUUUGCAUGUGUAGGAUAGGUGGGAGACGUUGAAGCAGGGGCGCUAGCCUCUGUGGAGUCAACCUUGAAAUACCACCCUUGCACGCGCGGUGUUCUAACCUACGCUAGUUAGCCUAGCGGGGGACACUGCCUGGUGGGUAGUUUGACUGGGGCGGUCGCCUCCCAAACUGUAACGGAGGCGUACAAAGGUUCCCUCAGCCUGAUUGGAAACCAGGCGUUGAGUGCAAAGGCAAAAGGGAGCUUGACUGCGAGACUUACAAGUCGAGCAGAUGCGAAAGCAGGUCUUAGUGAUCCGGUGGUCCCGCAUGGAAGGGCCAUCGCUCAUCGGCUAAAAGGUACUCUGGGGAUAACAGGCUGAUCACGCCUAAGAGUUCAUAUCGACGGCGUGGUUUGGCACCUCGAUGUCGGCCCAUCGCAUCCUGGGGCUGGAGCAGGUCCCAAGGGUCCGGCUGUUCGCCGGUUAAAGCGGUACGCGAGCUGGGUUCAGAACGUCGUGAGACAGUUCGGUCACUAUCUGCCGCGGGUGUAGGAUUCUUGAGAGAGGCUGCCCUUAGUACGAGAGGACCAGGGUGGACGAACCUCUGGUGUACCGGUUGUCGCGCCAGCGGCACUGCCGGGUAGCUACGUUCGGAACGGAUAACCGCUGAAAGCAUCUAAGUGGGAAGCCGGUCUCAAAACUAGGAAUCCCGGACGCAAGUCCCUGAAGACCCCUCGGAGACUACGAGGUUGAUAGGCCACAGGUGUAAGCGUAGUAAUACGUUCAGCCGAGUGGUACUAAUAGGUCGUGAGACUUGACCAU
rnacentral:rRNA from 1 species